UGUUCGUUUCGUCUCCGCUACUUCGUCUACUAGAUGAAUGGACCUUGCGUUCUGAGAAGUGUCUAAAGAGUCUCUAAUAAUGUUCACAUUUUUAUGGUGAUAAAAUAUACCUAAAUAUUCGAAGAAAGAAAAAAGAUCAUAAAUAUAAUAAUUCUGGCAUAUAAAGGAAGGUAUGGAUAUGGGGAAAAUUCUAAAAAUUGAAAUUUAUUAUUGUGCUGAAAUAGUCAUAUGCAUGAGUGUUUUUAAAUUUUGAUUGGACCCUUUAAAAUAAAAUCAAUUGCACAUUUAUGUAUUGAAAGGACACAAAAUUAAAAACUUACAUGACUAUUUCAACAAUCAAUAUGCGGCAUCAUCAUCUCAUCACCAGAAUGCACGAGGGCAAGGAAAAGGCAUGCGUCACAUCACAAUCAGCUUCUGCAGUGCGGAAAGGAGUCGCAGGACAAUGCUGAGAGGCUGCUGUCAGGACGGACAAAAGCGCUUAUCUUUUUGCAUACGCUAUAUAUGUAACAGCCUGGUUUGCCAUGUCUCGCCCGUGCUGCGCAUCCAAGAAUAUAGCGGGAACAUACGCUAAAUGCGAGCUUUCUGCUUCAAAGGACAUAACCGAAAGUUAUCAAUGAUAACUGUGAUAUCAAAGCAAAUAUAAUACACCACUGUGUGUCAAAAUAAAAGGAAAAUACGUUAUAAAUUGUACGGAGCUUUCCUCGAUGAUGGUGAUGAGGGUCGUGGAAGGAUUUCAGGACUGAGUAUAUUGAAUUUCUGAAAAGCGCGUCGAGUUUCAAGCGGAUGAUACGCGCCGCGGGCUCGAUUAUGCCGAAGCAAGUUAGGCGAAGGGAUCCACCUUCAGGCGCGCUUCUACAACGUAUGAUGGCAAACAACAUCUUGUAUAGUGCAUGAUACUACCUGAGUAAAAUUCUUUCUUAAUUAUUAAAUAUGCAAGAAAAAAAUAUUUAAGAAUCAAAUAAAUAAAAAAAAUUUGAAUGUUCCUAUUCGCACGCAAUUGAUAAUGGGCUGCGAGCUUUGAAUAUGUUAAUCAAAAUAAGACGUAUUUAUUUUUGUUUUAUAAGUACAUAUAUGUUAAAGA